rnacentral:rRNA from 1 species
GCAUAUCAAUAAGCGGAGGAAAAGAAACCAACGGGAGAUUGCCCUAGUAACGGCGAGUGAAGCGGCAAGAGCUCAAAUUUGCAAAGCUGGCUCCUUCGGGGUCCGCAUUGUAAUUUGCAGAGGAUGCUUCGGGAGCGGUCCCCCAUCUAAGUGCCCUGGAACGGGCCGUCAUAGAGGGUGAGAAUCCCGUCUGGGAUGGGGUGCCCGCGCCCGUGUGAAGCUCCUUCGACGAGUCGAGUUGUUUGGGAAUGCAGCUCUAAUUGGGUGGUAAAUUUCAUCUAAAGCUAAAUAUUGGCCGGAGACCGAUAGCGCACAGGUAGAGUGAUCGAAAGAUGAAAAGCACUUUGAAAAGAGAGUUAAACAGCACGUGAAAUUGUUGAAAGGGAAGCGCUUGCGAUCAGACUCGCCCGCGGGGUUCAGCCGGCAUUCGUGCCGGUGUACUUCCCCGUGGGCGGGCCAGCGUCGGUUUGGGCGGCCGGUCAAAGGCCCCUGGAAUGUAACGCCUCUCGGGGCGUCUUAUAGCCAGGGGUGCCAUGCGGCCUGCCCGGACCGAGGAACGCGCUUCGGCUCGGACGCUGGCAUAAUGGUCGUAAGCGACCCGUCUUGAAACACGGACCAAGGAGUCUAACAUCUACGCGAGUGUUCGGGUGUCAAACCCGUGCGCGCAGUGAAAGCGAACGGAGGUGGGAACCCCCCGGGGUGCACCAUCGACCGAUCCUGAUGUCUUCGGAUGGAUUUGAGUAAGAGCGUAGCUGUUGGGACCCGGAAAGAUGGUGAACUAUGCCUGAAUAGGGCGAAGCCAGAGGAAACUCUGGUGGAGGCUCGCAGCGGUUCUGACGUGCAAAUACGAUCGUCAAAUAUUGGGUAUAGGGCGAAAGACUAGUCGAUCGAUCUCGUAGAUUGUUCU